rfam:Bombyx mori DNA, contig: Bm_scaf7_contig5934, strain: p50T/Dazao, build 2, whole genome shotgun sequence.
UUAACUCAAAUUUGUAUGGAUUUGGAACGUGUGCCUACGUUUGCCGUUAGGGGCGCUGUUCCAACUGCAUACAAAUUUGAGUUA